rnacentral:rRNA from 1 species
UACGUAGGGGGCAAGCGUUGUCCGGAAUCAUUGGGCGUAAAGCGCACGUAGGCGGCCCGGUAAGUCCGUUGUGAAAGUCAGAGGCUCAACCUCUGGAGGCCAAUGGAUACUGCCGGGCUAGAGUCCGGAAGAGGCGAGUGGAAUUCCUGGUGUAGCGGUGGAAUGCGCAGAUAUCAGGAGGAACACCAAUGGCGAAGGCAGCUCGCUGGGACGGUACUGACGCUUAGGAGCGAAAGCGUGGGGAGCGAACAGG